rnacentral:rRNA from 1 species
UACGAAGGGGGCUAGCGUUGCUCGGAUUGACUGGGCGUAAAGGGCGCGUAGGCGGUUCGUACAGUCAGACGUGAAAUUCCUGGGCUCAACCUGGGGGCUGCGUUUGAUACGUGCGGACUUGAGUGCGGAAGAGGGUCGUGGAAUUCCCAGUGUAGCGGUGAAAUGCGUAGAUAUUGGGAGGAACACCAGUGGCGAAGGCGGCUCACUGGACCGGUACUGACGCUGAUGCGCGAAAGCGUGGGGAGCAAACGGG